rnacentral:rRNA from 1 species
GACGAACGCUGGCAGCGUGCCUAACACAUGCAAGUCGAGCGGAGAUAUUAGCAAUAAUAUCUUAGCGGCGGACGGGUGAGUAACGCGUGGGCAACCUGCCUUUCACUGGGGGAUAACACAGGGAAACUUGUGCUAAUACCGCAUAACAUCACGAGAUGACAUCUUCUUGUGAUCAAAGGAGCAAUCCGGUGAUAGAUGGGCCCGCGUCCGAUUAGCUAGUUGGUGGUGUAACGGACCACCAAGGCGACGAUCGGUAGCCGAACUGAGAGGUUGAGCGGCCACAGUGGGACUGAGACACGGCCCAGACUCCUACGGGAGGCAGCAGUGGGGAAUAUUGCGCAAUGGGGGAAACCCUGACGCAGCAACGCCGCGUGAAGGAUGAAGGUUUUCGGAUUGUAAACUUCUUUGAUGAGGGACGAAAAAAUGACGGUACCUCAAAAACAAGCCACGGCUAACUACGUGCCAGCCGCCGCGGUAA